rnacentral:lncRNA from 1 species
CAUCACAUGUAUAUAUUCCGUGUGUGCUUGAUCUCGCCAUAGUUGUAGCACUGCAAUGUAAAAGAAUCAACUAGAGCUAGCUUCAAGGACCUCAUAUCAAUAGCACCACAAAUAGAAAGGAUAGAAGUUGUGUUGCACCGUAUGUCCCUCUAAUUUUCUGGUACUUGGUUGCUUUGUGGGGGAGGAUCAUACCUAGGUACAGGCCUUCAUUGCUACUACUCCUUAGCAACCAUA